GACGAACGCUGGCGGCGUGCUUAACACAUGCAAGUCGAACGGAAAGGCCCUGCUUUUGUGGGGUGCUCGAGUGGCGAACGGGUGAGUAACACGUGAGUAACCUGCCCUUGACUUUGGGAUAACUUCAGGAAACUGGGGCUAAUACCGGAUAGGAGCUCCUGCUGCAUGGUGGGGGUUGGAAAGUUUCGGCGGUUGGGGAUGGACUCGCGGCUUAUCAGCUUGUUGGUGGGGUAGUGGCUUACCAAGGCUUUGACGGGUAGCCGGCCUGAGAGGGUGACCGGCCACAUUGGGACUGAGAUACGGCCCAGACUCGUACGGGAGGCAGCAGUGGGGAAUAUUGCACAAUGGGCGGAAGCCUGAGGCAGAAACGCCGCGUGCGGGAUGACGGCCUUCGGGUUGUAAACCGCUUUCGCCUGUGACGAAGCGUGAGUGACGGUAAUGGGUAAAGAAGCACCGGCUAACUACGCG
rnacentral:rRNA from 1 species